UUUGAUGUUUUUGGGAAGGAAUUUUGAGGAUUUCAAAAUUCUGUGUAGGAUUUUGAAGAAUUAUUCAGGAUUAAGUGUAUAUGUGUAUAUGUGUUGUGAUUAUGGUAUUAUAUGUGUACAGAAUGUGGUUAGGGGUCAAGGGUUGACCAAAUAAAUUUUAUCAGUGUCAAACCCUAAUAUUAUUAAGAACGUCAAUGUUCAGUUAGAAAACCCUAGCAAUGGAUAAGAAACCCUAGAAACCGGUUCUAAAACCUUAAUUUCGGUUUUG
rnacentral:lncRNA from 1 species